CAGUCGCCGCGGGAAUACGUAGGGUGCGAGCGUUGUCCGGAAUUACUGGGCGUAAAGAGCUCGUAGGCGGUUUGUCGCGUCGUCUGUGAAAUUCUGCAGCUUAACUGUAGGCGUGCAGGCGAUACGGGCAGACUUGAGUACUACAGGGGAGACUGGAAUUCCUGGUGUAGCGGUGAAAUGCGCAGAUAUCAGGAGGAACACCGGUGGCGAAGGCGGGUCUCUGGGUAGUAACUGACGCUGAGGAGCGAAAGCGUGGGUAGCGAACAGGAUUAGAUACCCCCGUAGUCCCUGUCUCUUAUAA
rnacentral:rRNA from 1 species